AUUGAACGCUGGCGGCAUGCCUUACACAUGCAAGUCGAACGGCAGCACGGGAGCAAUCCUGGUGGCGAGUGGCGAACGGGUGAGUAAAGUAUCGGAACGUGCCCAGUCGUGGGGGAUAACGUAGCGAAAGCUACGCUAAUACCGCAUACGAUCUAUGGAUGAAAGCGGGGGAUCGCAAUACCUCGCGCGAUGGGAGCGGCCGAUAUCAGAUUAGGUAGUUGGUGGGGUAAAGGCUCACCAAGCCGCCGAUCGGUAGCUGGUCUGAGAGGACGACCAGCCACACUGGGACUGAGACACGGCCCAGACUCCUACGGGAGGCAGCAGUGGGGAAUUUUGGACAAUGGGCGCAAGCCUGAUCCAGCCAUGCCGCGUGCAGGAUGAAGGCCUUCGGGUUGUAAACUGCUUUUGUACGGAACGAAAGGUCUGACUUAAUACGUUGGACUCGUGACGGUACCGUAAGAAUAAGCACCGGCUAACUACGUGCCAGCCGCCGCGGUAA
rnacentral:rRNA from 1 species